GACGAACGCUGGCGGCGUGCUUCACACAUGCAAGUCGAACGAAGUGGCGAACGGGUGAGUAAUACGUGAGAAAACUGCCCUCCGUUUUGGGAUAAGCCUUGGAAACGGGGUCAAAUACGGAAUAAAGGGGGAUGGGCUCGCGGCCUAUCAGCUGGUUGGUGGGGUGAUGGCCUACCAGGGCGGUGACGGGUAGCCGGCCUGAGAGGGUGAACGGCAACAUUGGAACUGAGGUACGGUCCAGACGCAGACAGGAGGAGGCAGUGUGGGAUAAUGGACAAUGGGCGGAAGCCGGAAGCAGCGAGGCGGCGUGGGGGUUGAAGGCUUUCGGGUCGUAAUCCUCUUUCGCUAUCGAGCGGGUAGGUGGAGAAUAAGCGCCGGCUAACUACGUGCCAGCAGCCGCGGUAAUAC
rnacentral:rRNA from 1 species